UGAGGAAUAUUGGUCAAUGGCCGGAAGGCUGAACCAGCCAAGUCGCGUGAGGGAAUAAGGCCCUAUGGGUCGUAAACCUCUUUUGUCAGGGAGCAAAGGCGUCCACGAGUGGACGAAAGGAGAGUACCUGAAGAAAAAGCAUCGGCUAACUCCGUGCCAGCAGCCGCGGUAAUACGGAGGAUGCGAGCGUUAUCCGGAUUUAUUGGGUUUAAAGGGUGCGUAGGCGGAGUGUCAAGUCAGCGGUAAAAUUUCGGGGCUCAACCCCGUCGUGCCGUUGAAACUGACGCCCUUGAGUGAGUGAGAAGUAAGCGGAAUGCGUGGUGUAGCGGUGAAAUGCAUAGAUAUCACGCAGAACGCCGAUUGCGAAGGCAGCUUACCGGCGCUCAACUGACGCUGAGGC
rnacentral:rRNA from 1 species